rnacentral:rRNA from 1 species
AUUGAACGCUGGCGGCAUGCCUAACACAUGCAAGUCGAACGGCAGCACAGUCUAGCUUGCUAGACGGGUGGCGAGUGGCGAACGGGUGAGUAACGCGUAGGAAUAUACCUUGAAGUGGGGGACAACCUGGGGAAACUCAGGCUAAUACCGCGUAAUCUCUUCGGAGGGAAGCUGGGGACCGCAAGGCCUGGCGCUUUAAGAUUAGCCUGCGUCCGAUUAGCUAGUUGGUGGGGUAAAGGCCUACCAAGGCGACGAUCGGUAGCUGGUCUGAGAGGAUGAUCAGCCACACUGGGACUGAGACACGGCCCAGACUGCUACGGGAGGCAGCAGUGGGGAAUAUUGGACAAUGGGGGGAACCCUGAUCCAGCAAUGCCGCGUGUGUGAAGAAGGCCUGAGGGUUGUAAAGCACUUUCGGCGGGGAGGAGAAUGAGUUGGUUAAGAGCUGACUUAUUGGACGUUACCCGCAUAAGAAGCACCGGCUAACUCCGUGCCAGCAGCCGCAGUAAUAC